rnacentral:rRNA from 1 species
AUACGGGGGGAGCAAGCGUUGUCGGGAAUCACUGGGCGUAAAGGGCGCGUAGGCGGAUUAUUAAGUCAGAAGUGAAAUCCACCCGCUUAACGGGUGAUCUGCUUUUGAAACUGAUAGUCUUGAAACAUGAAGAGGAGAAUGGAAUUCCAGGUGUAGCGGUGAAAUGCGUAGAUAUCUGGAAGAACACCGGUGGCGAAGGCGGUUCUCUGGACCGUCACUGACGCUGAGGCGCGAAAGCUAGGGGAGCAAACGGGAUUAGAAACCCGAGUAGUCC